GGGGGGGUAGCUCUGUGGUAGAUUACAUGCUUAAAGUGCAUGAGGCUAUGGGUUUGAUCCCUUGUCCCA
rnacentral:tRNA from 1 species